AUUCAAGGAAAAUAUUUCGGUGCCCUCAGAGUGAGGGGUAAAAGGGAAGGCGGUGAAAAUCCGCCACAGCCCCGCUGCUGUAAGCGGCUACCCUCCGGCGCAAGACCACUCGCUUUGGUGAAACAAGGCGGGGAAGGAGCCGGAAGGAGGUUUGAAGCCGUAAAGUCAGAAAACCUGCCGGAAGACAACCGUAAUGU
rnacentral:ncRNA from 1 species